rnacentral:rRNA from 1 species
UACGUAGGGUGCGAGCGUUAAUCGGAAUUACUGGGCGUAAAGCGUGCGCAGGCGGUUCGCUAAGACCGAUGUGAAAUCCCCGGGCUUAACCUGGGAACUGCAUUGGUGACUGGCGGGCUAGAGUAUGGCAGAGGGGGGUAGAAUUCCACAUGUAGCAGUGAAAUGCGUAGAGAUGUGGAGGAAUACCGAUGGCGAAGGCAGCCCCCUGGGCCAAUACUGACGCUCAUGCACGAAAGCGUGGGGAGCAAACAGG